GACGAACGCUGGCGGCGUGCCUAAUACAUGCAAGUAGAACGCACAGUUUAUACCGUAGCUUGCUACACCAUAGACUGUGAGUUGCGAACGGGUGAGUAACGCGUAGGUAACCUGCCUGGUAGCGGGGGAUAACUAUUGGAAACGAUAGCUAAUACCGCAUAAUAUUAAUUAUUGCAUGAUAAUUAAUUGAAGUGUGCAAUUGCACCACUACCAGAUGGACCUGCGUUGUAUUAGCUAGUAGGUGAGGUAACGGCUCACCUAGGCGACGAUACAUAUCCGACCUCAGAGGGGGAUCGGCCACGCUGGGACUGAGACACGGCCCAGAACACUACGGGAGGCAGACGUAGGGAAUCUUCAGGAAUGGACGAAAGUCUGACCGAGCAACGCCGCGUGAGUGAAGAAGGUUUUCGGAUCGUAAAGCUCUGUUGUAAGAGAAGAACGGGUGUGAGAGUGGAAAGUUCACACUGUGACGGUACCUUACCAGAAAGCGACGGCUAACUACGUG
rnacentral:rRNA from 1 species